AUCCGCUUCCUCUUCCUCUCAUCAGGAAGAGCAGAUGGCGAACCUCCAUUAGAUCCCGAGCUUGUUUGCCUUGGGAUAGAAGCCAUAUAAUUCUCUCUUUCAAUUACUUCCCGCCAAGUAAUCUCGAGUCAAAAGUUAUUUCAGUAUCUAAUCUGAUAAAAAUCAAACGAAUCUUCGGAUCUAUAACUCAGCCUAGCGCAAGAAGAGAUCAAUCGAAUUCCACCACGACGAAGAAGACGA
rnacentral:misc_RNA from 1 species